GAUGAAGAACGCAGCAAAAUGCGAUAAGUAAUGUGAAUUGCAGAAUUCAGUGAAUCAUCGAAUCUUUGAACGCACAUUGCGCCCGCCAGUAUUCUGGCGGGCACGCCUGUUCGAGCGUCAUUUCAACCCUCAAGCACAGCUUGGUGUUGGGACUCGCGUUAAUUCGCGUUCCCCAAAUUGAUUGGCGGUCACGUCGAGCUUCCAUAGCGUAGUAGUAAAACCCUCGUUACUGGUAAUCGUCGCGGCCACGCCGUUAAACCCCAACUUCUGAAUGUUGACCUCGGAUCAGGUAGGAAUACCCGCUGAACUUAAGCAUAUCAAUAAGCGGAGGA
rnacentral:misc_RNA from 1 species